rnacentral:rRNA from 1 species
CGGGGGAGCAAGCGUUGUUCGGAUUUACUGGGCGUAAAGGGCGCGUAGGCGGCCAGCACAAGUCAGUUGUGAAAUCUCCGGGCUUAACUCGGAACGGUCAACUGAUACUGUGCGGCUAGAGUGCAGAAGGGGCAACUGGAAUUCUCGGUGUAGCGGUGAAAUGCGUAGAUAUCGAGAGGAACACCUGCGGCGAAGGCGGGUUGCUGGGCUGACACUGACGCUGAUGCGCGAAAGCCAGGGGGGCGAACGGGAUUAGAUACCCCGGUAGUCCUGGCCUUAAACGAUGGAUGCUUGGUGUCUGGAGUUUUAUAGUCUCCGGGUGCCGUAGCUAACGCGUUAAGCAUCCCGCCUGGGGAGUACGGUCGCAAGACUG